AGAGUUUGAUCCUGGCUCAGGAUGAACGCCGGCGGUGUGCCUAAUACAUGCAAGUCGUACGCACUGGCCCAACUGAUUGAAGGUGCUUGCACCUGAUUGACGUUGGAUCACCAGUGAGUGGCGGACGGGUGAGUAACACGUAGGUAACCUGCCCCGGAGCGGGGGAUAACAUUUGGAAACAGAUGCUAAUACCGCAUAACAACAAAAGCCACAUGGCUUUUGUUUGAAAGAUGGCUUUGGCUAUCACUCUGGGAUGGACCUGCGGUGCAUUAGCUAGUUGGUAAGGUAACGGCUUACCAAGGCGAUGAUGCAUAGCCGAGUUGAGAGACUGAUCGGCCACAAUGGAACUGAGACACGGUCCAUACUCCUACGGGAGGCAGCAGUAGGGAAUCUUCCACAAUGGGCGCAAGCCUGAUGGAGCAACACCGCGUGAGUGAAGAAGGGUUUCGGCUCGUAAAGCUCUGUUGUUGGAGAAGAACGUGCGUGAGAGUAACUGUUCACGCAGUGACGGUAUCCAACCAGAAAGUCACGGCUAACUACGUGCCAGCAGCCGCGGUAAUACGUAGGUGGCAAGCGUUAUCCGGAUUUAUUGGGCGUAAAGCGAGCGCAGGCGGUUACUUAGGUCCGAUGUGAAAGCCUUCGGCUUAACCGAAGAAGUGCAUCGGAAACCGGGCGACUUGAGUGCAGAAGAGGACAGUGGAACUCCAUGUGUAGCGGUGGAAUGCGUAGAUAUAUGGAAGAACACCAGUGGCGAAAGCGGCUGUCUGGUCUGCAACUGACGCUGAGGCUCGAAAGCAUGGGUAGCGAACAGGAUUAGAUACCCUGGUAGUCCAUGCCGUAAACGAUGAGUGCUAGGUGUUGGAGGGUUUCCGCCCUUCAGUGCCGGAGCUAACGCAUUAAGCACUCCGCCUGGGGAGUACGACCGCAAGGUUGAAACUCAAAGGAAUUGACGGGGGCCCGCACAAGCGGUGGAGCAUGUGGUUUAAUUCGAAGCUACGCGAAGAACCUUACCAGGUCUUGACAUCUUGCGCUAACCUUAGAGAUAAGGCGUUCCCUUCGGGGACGCAAUGACAGGUGGUGCAUGGUCGUCGUCAGCUCGUGUCGUGAGAUGUUGGGUUAAGUCCCGCAACGAGCGCAACCCUUGUUACUAGUUGCCAGCAUUAAGUUGGGCACUCUAGUGAGACUGCCGGUGACAAACCGGAGGAAGGUGGGGACGACGUCAGAUCAUCAUGCCCCUUAUGACCUGGGCUACACACGUGCUACAAUGGACGGUACAACGAGUCGCAAGCUCGCGAGAGUAAGCUAAUCUCUUAAAGCCGUUCUCAGUUCGGACUGUAGGCUGCAACUCGCCUACACGAAGUCGGAAUCGCUAGUAAUCGCGGAUCAGCAUGCCGCGGUGAAUACGUUCCCGGGCCUUGCACACACCGCCCGUC
rnacentral:rRNA from 2 species